rnacentral:rRNA from 1 species
CGGGAAUUUUGGGCAAUGGGCGAAAGCAUGACCCAGCAACGCCGCGUGAGGGAUGAAGUAUUUCGGUAUGUAAACCUCGAAAGAAUGGGAAGAAUAAAUGACGGUACCAUUUAUAAGCUCCGGCUAACUACGUGCCAGCAGCCGCGGUAAUACGUAGGGAGCAAGCGUUGUUCGGAUUUACUGGGCGUAAAGGGCGCGUAGGCGGCGCGGUAAGUCACUUGUGAAAUCUCUGAGCUUAACUCAGAACGGCCAAGUGAUACUGCUGUGCUAGAGUGCGGAAGAGGCAACCGGAAUUCUUGGUGUAGCGGUGAAAUGCGUAGAUAUCAAGAGGAACACCUGAGGCGAAGGCGGGUUGCUGGGCCGACACUGACGCUGAUGCGCGAAAGCCAGGGGAGCAAACG